UGGGGAAUAUUGCACAAUGGGCGCAAGCCUGAUGCAGCCAUGCCGCGUGUAUGAAGAAGGCCUUCGGGUUGUAAAGUACUUUCAGCGGGGAGGAAGGGAGUAAAGUUAAUACCUUUGCUCAUUGACGUUACCCGCAGAAGAAGCACCGGCUAACUCCGUGCCAGCAGCCGCGGUAAUACGGAGGGUGCAAGCGUUAAUCGGAAUUACUGGGCGUAAAGCGCACGCAGGCGGUUUGUUAAGUCAGAUGUGAAAUCCCCGGGCUCAACCUGGGAACUGCAUCUGAUACUGGAAAGCUUGAGUCUCGUAGAGGGGGGUAGAAUUCCAGGUGGAGCGGUGAAAUGCGUAGAGAUCUGGAGGAAUACCGGUGGCGAAGGCGGCCCCCUGGACGAAGACUGACGCUCAGGUGCGAAAGCGUGGGGAGCAAACAGG
rnacentral:rRNA from 1 species